rnacentral:pre_miRNA from 1 species
CUCCAGACAACCCACUAGCGAGGUAUAGAGUUCCUAUGUUCCUGUCGUACUUCAUAGGAACUUCAUACCGUGCUCUUGGCUUGAUCUGAA